GAUUCAUGAUAACUUCUCGAAUCGCAUGGCCUUGCGCCGGCGAUGGUUCAUUCAAAUUUCUGCCCUAUCAACUUUCGACGGCUGGGUCUUGGCCAGCCAUGGUGACAACGGGUAACGGAGGGUUAGGGCUCGACCCCGGAGAAGGAGCCUGAGAAACGGCUACUACAUCCAAGGAAGGCAGCAGGCGCGCAAAUUACCCAAUCCCGACACGGGGAGGUAGUGACAAUACAUACUGAUACAGGGCUCUUUUGGGUCUUGUAAUUGGAAUGAGUACAAUUUAAAUCCCUUAACGAGGAACAAUUGGAGGGCAAGUCUGGUGCCAGCAGCCGCGGUAAUUCCAGCUCCAAUAGCGUAUAUUAAAGUUGUUGCGGUUAAAAAGCUCGUAGUUGAACCUUGGGCCUGGCUGGCCGGUCCGCCUCACCGCGUGCACUGGUACGGUCGGGCCUUUCCCUCUGGGGAACCGCAUGCCCUUCACUGGGUGUGUCGGGGAACCAGGACUUUUAC
rnacentral:rRNA from 1 species